UGAUGCACGACCUCGACCUCGACAUGCUCCCCUUCGUCGGGGAGGCGCUCACCACGCUUCGCAAGGAGGUGGGCGACGAGGCCGCGGUGCUCGGAUUCGUCGGCGCGCCCUGGACCCUCGCCACCUACAUCGUCGAGGGCGGCAGCUCCUCCACGUACAAGACGAUCAAGUCCAUGACCAUGACGGAGCCCGAGGUUCUCAAGUCGAUCCUGAGCAAGGUUGCGGACGCCGUGGGCGACUACGUCGGGUACCAGAUCGACGCGGGCGCGCAGUGCGUGCAGAUCUUCGACUCCUGGG
rnacentral:lncRNA from 1 species